GGGCGGUUAUUUUACUGGGUCAUGUGAGUGCGAGCGAUGGAUUAAGAGCUUGCUCAAAAGAAGUUAGCGGCGGACGGGUGAGUAACACGUGGGUAACCUGCCCAUAAGACUGGGAUAACUCCGGGAAACCGGGGCUAAUACCGGAUAACAUUUUGAACUGCAUGGUUCGAAAUUGAAAGGCGGCUUCGGCUGUCACUUAUGGAUGGACCCGCGUCGCAUUAGCUAGUUGGUGAGGUAACGGCUCACCAAGGCAACGAUGCGUAGCCGACCUGAGAGGGUGAUCGGCCACACUGGGACUGAGACACGGCCCAGACUCCUACGGGAGGCAGCAGUAGGGAAUCUUCCGCAAUGGACGAAAGUCUGACGGAGCAACGCCGCGUGAGUGAUGAAGGCUUUCGGGUCGUAAAACUCUGUUGUUAGGGAAGAACAAGUGCUAGUUGAAUAAGCUGGCACCUUGACGGUACCUAACCAGAAAGCCACGGCUAACUACUUGCCAGCAGCCGCGGUAAUACGUAUGUGGCAAGCGUUAUCCGGAAUUAUUGGGCGUAAAGCGCGCGCACGUGGUUUCUUAAGUCUGAUGUGAAAGCCCACGGCUCAACCGUGGAGGGUCAUUGGAAACUGGGAGACUUGAGUGCAGAAGAGGAAAGUGGAAUUCCAUGUGUAGCGGUGAAAUGCGUAGAGAUAUGGAGGAACACCAGUGGCGAAGGCGACUUUCUGGUCUGUAACUGACACUGAGGCGCGAAGCGUGGGGAGCAAACAGGAUUAGAUACCCUGGUAAUCCACGCCGUAAACGAUGAGUGCUAAGUGAUUAGAGGGUUUCCCGCCCUUUAGUGCUGAAGUUAACGCAUUAAGCCACUCCCGCCUGGGGGAGUACCGGCCGCCUAUGCCUGAAACUUCUAAGGAAAUUGACCGGGGGCCCCGCACUAGGCGGCUGGAAGCAUGGUGGUUUAAUUUCUGAACGCACCGCGAUAGUACCCUUUACCAGGUCGUGACAUCCUCUGAAAACCCUAAAGAUAUAGGCUUCCUCCUUACGGACCAGAGUGAACAGGUGGUGCCAUGUUGUCGUCAGCUCGUGACUUGAGACGUUCGGAUAAGUCCGACACAAGCGCAACCUGAAUCUGAAUAGCCAUCAAUAGUUGGACACUUCAAGGUACUGCGUACAUCGAGAAGUGGAGUACUCAGUAUACU
rnacentral:rRNA from 2 species